CCUACGGGGGGCAGCAGUGGGGAAUAUUGCACAAUGGCCGCAAGCCUGAUGCAGCGACGCCGCGUGGGCGAUGAAGGCCUUCGGGCCGUAAGCCUCUGUCCUAGGGGAAGAAUAAUAACGUACCCUUAGGAGGAACCCCCGGCAAACUACGGGCCAGCAGCCGCGGUAAUACGUAGGGGGCGAGCGUUAUCCGGAAUCACUGGGCGUAAAGGGUGCGUAGGCGGCCCUGCAAGUCAGGAGUUAAAUCCCUCGGCUCAACCGAGGUCAGCUCUUGAAACUGUAGGGCUUGAGUGCAGGAGAGGAGAGCGGAAUUCCUAGUGUAGCGGUGAAAUGCGUAGAUAUUAGGAGGAACACCAGUGGCGAAGGCGGCUCUCUGGACUGCAACUGACGCUGAGGCACGAAAGCGUGGGGAGCGAACAGGAUUAGAUACCCUAGUAGUC
rnacentral:rRNA from 1 species